CGCCGGCCUGCUCCCCGCCCGCCGCCCCGUUUCCGGUCCCCCGGGUCCGCGAGCCCCGCUCCGCGAGGAAGCAGCGGCGGCCGGGAGGUGAUGCAGGGGGCUGAUUAUCAUGAGAAAGGCUGUGCCUGGAAAAGCCUCCUCCACGCGACUGUCAAUCUCACAAAGGGGGGGGGGAGUGGUGGUGUUGGAAGGAGAGGGGCUCUGGAGGAGUCACCAGAAAACUUGCAGCAAGUUAGAUGCGACACGCAGGCCCGAGGAGGUGGCUUUCGCCUCAACUUGGAAGGCUGGGCGUUAAGGGUGCGGACGCCAGCAGCCUCGCCGGGGGAUUGGAAACCCAAACCUCCCUCCUUCCUUUCCUCUUGCCCUCCUUUCGGCCCGCUCUGCCCUUUAUCCGUAUUCUCUUGCAAUUCUCUCGCAAUUGCAUUUUGCACAUUCUCCUUUCUCUCUCUAUUUCUUUUGCAAUCUCGUUUUCCUCCCCAAUUUACCUUCCUUGUAAAUGUUUUGGUGUCUCCUUUAUAUGUCCAGAUUUAUCAUUUCGUUUUCAAAACAGUGUUUAAUAUGCAAUUAAUCUACCAGCAGGAGGUCAGGGACACCCUGACUAAAAUAACUCCCGGGUCUUAUAGACAAGUUCGCCAGGUGUCAGUGAAAAGUAAAAUAAUAAUGAAAAUAAAUGAAUAUCUCAGUGACCGUAACAGUUUAUUACUCUCUAUUAUUGUAUCAGCUCUGACAGAUAAUUUUUUUAAAAAGACAUAAUCUUCUUGGAAAAAUAUGGAAGUAUUUGACACAGGGAGAGUUAGUAUAAUUAAGGCAAUAUGCAAAUUGUUCUUAUAAAUACAUUAUUUUAAUCAUGCUUGUCAGACUUUAGAAAUGAUAGUAGGUAAAUUCAAGAAACUGGUUUUUCUUUUAGUGAUUAUUGGAAAGUGUAAAAUAAUAAUAAAAAAAAAACCCAAAGUAGUCUCUCUGCCCCUCAACACAGACAGAUCAAGUCAGGCAGAAGCAGCCUGUUACGCGGUCUGUUAACUGCCAGCAGAUCCACAGCUUGGGUAUGUGGACUGCUUUCCUGGCCAGGUUGCUGUCCGUUUCCUAGCAGGUCUUGUUGAUAUUUCAUGGAUACAGUUACUCUGACCUGAAUAGAAGACACUAUUUUUCAGCAGAAGUCCUGGUCCUGGCCCAAGAUGUAAUCAUGAAAGAAAUAACCAAAUUUUGAAAAUAAAAGUUUGUCAACUCCGUAGACAGUGAGUUUGAAAGCCUCACGUGUGAGAUAAAUGCACUCAAAGACGCUUCACAAGUAGCUCUUUGGAGCUUCAGAUGUGAAAUGGAUCAUUCCUCAAUCUGUAAUAGACCCUUCUGUGAAGCUCUUCAAUCAAACCUGAGAAGUCAAGCGGAAGAAUCAUAGGGGAUGCUGAGAGAGGCCAGUGGGACACGAGUCAAGAGUCCGUGGCGAUCAGACUGUGGCCAUCAGUGGCAUCGCAUCUCUCCUUCUUUCCCCCUAUGCUGUCACAGCUCGCCUCCAGCCAUCCUGUUACAGGACCACACUCGCGAAAGGAGCAGCCCGUGAUGUUACCCAUUUCACUCUUGGAGAACAAUGGGAAGACUCAAGUGUUUUCCUGGGACGUGAGUGUGGCUAAAGAAACCUUCAGGCACAUACUUCAGUGUUUCCUGAACAUGAUCUGGUGAAACUGACAACCUCCAGUUUACCCAGAAAGACCUUGGCUGUAGAGCGGGAAAAGAAGUAUCCUGUCUUCAUGUUCAAGCUGCUGAACAAAAAGGAAGUGUCACUCUGGAAAAUCCUGUGAUUAUCUUCAAAGCGCUCUUUGAGUGGCUCCAAAGAGGCACAGAGAAUUGGCAGGUUCCUUUACCUGCCUGCUGCUCCGACUGGGAGAGAUGGUGCCUGUUGAGAAAUUCUAAGCUGUUUUGGAAGCCAACCAACCUUCUCAGAUUUAGCCUGUAUGCUAGGAAAUUGGGAUCGAGAGAGGAUGGCAGUUCAGUUUGCUUGAAAAGAACCACGGAUUACUCAAAGCCAGAUUUCACUUCCCCGUUACAACCCACUUCUUUUGCUUUCAGGAGCUUUUCCCAACUUCAUGGAGAGCUGUUGAUGUUGAAGCAAGACAAAUUGGGCAAGGAUCUUGUGCUAAAUAGAGGCUGGACCAGGUGUCUAAGAAUCCUGUAACUAUCUUAAGCCAGUAUGAACACACACACACACACACACACACACACACACACACACACACACACACACACACACACAGGUCUAGAACAUCUAGAAGUCUAUUAACCAAGUUAGUAACAUAGUUGAAUACUUUAGGAGUAGGAGGGUAGGAGGAGAGGGAGUAAAGGCAAGCUGGACAUAUGUAACUUUUAGAACUGAGGGACAUGUAUUCUUCUCCAGUCAGUUGCCGUGUAUAGAUACAGAGUGGCCAGACUGCCAGCACUUUUAAUAGGAGUCACAGAGUCUGGAACUUUAUAACUUUAUACGAAUACAUUCAUACCAUGAAAAAAAGUUUAAAAAGUUAGCACUUCGUGUGAAAGAAACCAGCAGUCCGAUUGCAGUGUAAAAGCUAAUAGAUUAUAUUCUGUUUCCAACUAGAUUUUCCCCCUUUUUUCUGUUACCUUUCUUUUUUUCUGAAUCCUAACCAAAUAUUAAAGGGGAAAACGGAAGUUAACUUACACAUAGAAUAAACGCGGCUUGUUUUUUAAAACGUUUCUCACUGUUAUGUCCCAAUGCUUAGACGUGGCUCUUCCAGGGAAUUUCCCCCAAUCAGGUCUGCUUGGUUAGGGGUAUUCUCUAAGUGCUGAGGGUUUCGGUGGGGAAGUACUGAGGGGGCCUUUUCAAAGACCCUGCUCUACAGUUUCUGAGCCGAGCUGUGAAAAAGACAUUGUGAAGCGCACCUGCUAACUCAGGCUUCUUUCCGGCUGGCAAUGCAGUCUCUCAGAAGGCCCGGCUACACGCUAUCUAGUACUGCUGCAGCCUUGGUAGAGACAUUCCAUCCAAUGGCGCGACAGCUCCUGCAAAGAGUAGGAUCCUACGUCCCUCUGCCAAAUCUUCAAACACUCAUAUGACACAAAAAAGCACAUUUUAGUCUCUGGAAUCAACAUUCAGACAUAUUUUCUAUUUAAUAUUGACACCAGUCUAAACCCUUUGAUGCCUUUCCUGAAUAUUUAAAGAGAAAUUGGAAGUUGUCUUUUCAUUUUCAGUUUGAAUGCCAUUGAACACUUUCAUGUUUUGACAUCUAGCAUACUAGCACAAUUAAAUGAUUUUUCUCUUUUCUAAAGCAGGGGUCAAAAGUCAAUCACAAAAAUGUAAGUUUAGUUUUUCCAUGUGAAAACUGGAGGUAGAAUUUUCUAUCUUUUAUGGCUUAGCCUUGAAGAAAAUUGUGAAAGUUAUUUCUCUUAAGGCAUAUUAUUUUUCUUCUAUACACGAAUAAGAAAUUGUUCAUCAAUGAAGAUUAGCAGUGAUUGGUCAUAUUUACAUAGAGCGUGUUGGUUUGCAUGGGAGUGACAGCAGCAAGAAGAGGUAGGUUUGAAUGUGCCAUGGAGUGCAGACAAGCAUGUGUCACAGAUUGGAACAGAUUCCAGACGGGUCUCAGCAAUCCUAAAAUCACUGCGUUAACAAUUUCAUGUUUUUUUCUAUGCACACACUGCAGUCUUAGAAAGCAGAUUUCUAAGUAUAUUACACCAACCACAGAAUUAUCUGCUUAUAUAUUAGUUGAUGAUUUUUUUCCCUUCAGGGCAAGCAAGUAACUAAUUCUAGAAAAACUGGACCUAUAUAAAGGUAGAGUUGCAGCUAGGUUUAGUGUCCUUUAAUCUCAGCACUCAGGAGGCAGAGGUGGGUGGAUCUGAGUUCUAGGCUAGCUUGGUCUACAGAGCAAAUUAUAAGGCUACAGAGAAAUCCUGUCUCAAAAGAAAGAAACAAAAUCAAUAAUAAGAACAACAAAAAUCAACCAUGUAAGAGCUGCAGUCCUUACAUAGGUCAUCAGGCAGUGCCACAGGGCAGUGAACAGCAACAGGGUCUGUGUGAUGAUAAAAUAAAGCCCUGGUGGGGUCAGAUUGACCUGCUCAGUAGCCAGAAUGUUCUUUUACAUUCAUAGGAAGUAACUGAAAUUAUGUCACUCUUUUAAAAAAUACUGGAAACAUCAUCUAGACUCAGGUUUAUGAGUCCUUGUAAGUGUUUGUGCAAUUUCUCCAUCAAAAUUAUUAUUUUUGUCGAAGGCUAGCUUGGUGGGACUAGGAUGAAAGAAGAGCAGAGCUGGGGGACAUAUGCAAAUGUCUUAAUUUCUGACAAGUGUAGGCCUGGCAAUCACUUAAGACAAUACCGUCGAUACAGCUGUCAGGGCGGACUCUUUCCAAGAGGGUGGUUUUUUUUUUUAUAGAAUAUCAUUGUGCCACUUUGUUCAGAUGGAUGUCUUUAGUAGUAUUUGAUUAAUGUAAUGCAAUAAAAGAGAUGUUCACCAAAGUGUCUGUACAUGUCUUGUUAAGUACACUUGAUUCAUUGUAUGUGC